GUCUAUGGCCACGCCACCCUGAACGAGCCCGUUCCUGUCUGAUCUGGGAAGCUAAGCAGCGUCGGGCCUGGUUAGUGCUUGGAUGGGAGGCCACCUAGGAAGACCAGGUGCUGUAGGCG
rfam:Pteropus alecto contig72607, whole genome shotgun sequence.